rnacentral:rRNA from 1 species
UACGGAGGGUGCAAGCGUUAUCCGGAUUCACUGGGUUUAAAGGGUGCGUAGGCGGAUAUGUAAGUCCGUGGUGAAAUCUCUGGGCUUAACCCGGAAACUGCCAUGGAUACUAUGUGUCUUGAAUCCGGGAGAGGGAUGCAGAAUUCCAGGUGUAGCGGUGAAAUGCGUAGAUAUCUGGAGGAAUACCGGUGGCGAAGGCGGCAUCCUGGACCGGCAUUGACGCUGAAGCGCGAAAGCUAGGGGAGCGAACGGG